rnacentral:rRNA from 1 species
UACAGAGGGGGCAAGCGUUGUCCGGAUUUUACUGGGCGUACAGCGCGCGCAGGCGGUUGCGUAUGUGAGCGGUGACAUCCGCGGGCUCAACCCGCGGCGGCCCGCUUACACAGCGCGACUGGAGGCAGGGAGAGGGAUGUGGAAUACCCGGUGGAGCGGUGAAAUGCGUAGAGAUCGGGUGGAACACCAGCGGCGAAGGCGGCAUCCUGGCCCUGUACUGACGCUGAGGCGCGAUAGCGUGGGGAGCAAACGGGG